rnacentral:lncRNA from 1 species
GGUAGCAGUUGAGGUGGAAGUGGGUGGAGUUUUUAACGUGCUGCUGCCGCCGGUCUCGGAGCUGGGGAGCAAGCUCGGGCCGGAACGGCGGAGCACGGUGCGGCUUGGCCCGGCAACGAGGAGGUGGAUGCUGACUUCGGCCGGCGUUUUAUUAGAUGCUGCUGCUGCUCUAAGAAUUGCAGACAGUAUUUAGAGACAAGAGUGGAACACUGCUUCUUGAAAUGGAGGGAAUGGAAGAAACAUCUGAAAGAAUUCUUUUAGAGCCAUACAAGUAUUUACUUCAACUGCCAGGCAAGUGUCCUUUUAUCAUUCUGUU